rnacentral:rRNA from 1 species
UACGGAGGGUGCAAGCGUUGUUCGGAUUUACUGGGCGUAAAGCGCGCGCAGGUGGGUGUGCAAGUCGGAAGUGAAAUCUUGAGGCUCAACCUCGAGGCUGCUCCCGAAACUGCCACGCCUAGGGACUGGUAGAGGCUGGUAGAAUUCCCGGUGUAGCGGUGGAAUGCGUAGAGAUCGGGAAGAAUACCCGUGGCGGAAGGCGGCCAGCCUGGGCCAGGUC